AUGAGGAGUAAGAGACAGAGGACUGCAAAGUCUUUUGGUGAUGAUUUCAUUGUGUACCUCGUGGAUGACACACCCAGGACUAUUUCAGAAGCCUAUGCAUCUCCUGAUGCUGACUACUGGAAGGAAGCUGUACGUAGUGAGAUGGAUUCCAUCUUAGCUAACGGUACCUCGGAGAUCACUGACCGUCCUUGUGGGUGCAAACCUGUAGGAUGUAAGUGGGUGUUUAAGAAGAAGCUUAGACCUGAUGGUACGAUUGAAAAGUACAAGGCACGGCUUGUGGCCAAGGGUUAUACCCAGAAAGAAGGUGAAGACUUCUUUGAUACUUACUCACCCGUGGCUAGACUGACCACAAUUCGAGUGCUACUAUCAUUGGCUGCCUCACAUGGUCUUCUCGUUCAUCAAAUGGACGUUAAGACGGCUUUCCUCAAUGGAGAGUUGAAGGAGGAAAUUUACAUGGAUCAGCCAGAUGGUUUUGUAGUACCUGGUCAAGAAGGAAAGGUGUGCAAGUUAUUAAAGUCUUUAUAUGGCCUUAAACAAGCUCCUAAGGAGUGGCAUGAGAAGUUCGAAAGAACAUUAACUGCUGCCGGCUUUGUAGUAAACGAUGGUGACAAGUGCGUGUACUAUCGCUAUGGUGGGGGCGAAGGAGUUAUUCUUUGUCUUUAUGUCGACGACAUAUUGAUCUUUGGAACCAAACUUGAUUUAAUCAAGGAGGUUAAGGAUUUCUUAUCUCGCUGUUUUGAGAUGAAGGAUCUAGGAGUAGCUGAUGUUAUCUUAAACAUCAAGCUGUUGAGAGAUGAGAAUGGUGGGAUCACACUGCUUCAGUCUCAUUAUGUGGAAAAGGUCUUGAGUCGUUUUGGGUAUAGCGACUGCACGCCUUCUCCAACUCCAUAUGAUGCUAGUGUGUUGCUUCGAAAGAAUCGACGGAUUGCUAGAGAUCAACUGACAUCUCUUUUGCUGUGA
rnacentral:rRNA from 1 species